UGCCUGCGGAGGGAUCAUUACUGAGUGAGGGCCUUCGGGCUCGACCUCCAACCCUUUGUGAACACAACUUGUUGCUUCGGGGGCGACCCUGCCGUUUCGACGGCGAGCGCCCCCGGAGGCCUUCAAACACUGCAUCUUUGCGUCGGAGUUUAAGUAAAUUAAACAAAACUUUCAACAACGGAUCUCUUGGUUCUGGCAUCGAUGAAGAACGCAGCGAAAUGCGAUAAGUAAUGUGAAUUGCAGAAUUCAGUGAAUCAUCGAAUCUUUGAACGCACAUUGCGCCCCUUGGUAUUCCGAGGGGCAUGCCUGUUCGAGCGUCAUUUCACCACUCAAGCCUCGCUUGGUAUUGGGCGCCGCGGUGUUCCGCGCGCCUCAAAGUCUCCGGCUGAGCUGUCCGUCUCUAAGCGUUGUGAUUUCAUUAAUCGCUUCGGAGCGCGGGCGGUCGCGGCCGUUAAAUCUUUUAUAAGGUUGACCUCGGAUCAGGUAGGGAUACCCGCUGAACUUAAGCAUAUCAAA
rnacentral:rRNA from 1 species